GACACAGGUGCUGCCUGGCUGUCGUCAGCUCGUGUCGUGAGAUGUUGGGUUAAGUCCGUAACGAGCGCAACCCUUGUCCUUAGUUACCAGCACGUUAUGGUGGGCACUCUAAGGAGACUGCCGGUGACAAACCGGAGGAAGGUGGGGAUGACGUCAAGUCAUCAUGGCCCUUACGGCCUGGGCUACACACGUGCUACAAUGGUCGGUACAAAGGGUUGCCAAGCCGCGAGGUGGAGCUAAUCCCAUAAAACCGAUCGUAGUCCGGAUCGCAGUCUGUAACUCGACUGCGUGAAGUCGGAAUCGCUAGUAAUCGUGAAUCAGAAUGUCACGGUGAAUACGUUCCCGGGCCUU
rnacentral:rRNA from 1 species